rnacentral:tRNA from 1 species
GGCGAAGUAGCUCAGCUGGUCAGAGCGCACGACUCAUAAUCGUGAGGUCGAGGGAUCGUGCCCCUCCUUCGCCA